rnacentral:rRNA from 1 species
GUCUGCUCAUAAGAGUAGGUGCCGUACGUUAACACAUUAAGCACUCCGCCUGGGGAGUACGUACGCAAGUAUGAAACUCAAAGGAAUUGACGGGGACCCGCACAAGCAGCGGAGCAUGUGGUUUAAUUCGAGGCUACGCGAAGAACCUUACCAGGACUUGACAUACCAAGGAAAGUUUUUAGAGAUAAAAACCCUAGAUUUAUCUACCUUGGAUACAGGUGGUGCAUGGUUGUCGUCAGCUCGUGUCGUGAGAUGUUGGGUUAAGUCCCGCAACGAGCGCAACCCUUACAUUUAGUUACUAACAGGUAGUGCUGAGGACUCUAGAUGGACUGCCGAUGACAAAUCGGAGGAAGGUGGGGAUGACGUCAAAUCAUCAUGCCCUUUAUACCCAGGGCUUCACACAUGCUACAAUGGUCGGUACAAAGAGAAGCUAAAUAGCGAUAUCAAGCAAACCUCAAAAAACCGAUCCCAGUUCGGAUUGAUCUCUGCAACUCGAGAUCAUGAAGCCGGAGUUGCUAGUAAUCGCAGAUCAGAAUGCUGCGGUGAAUGCGUUCCCGGGUCUUGUACACACCGCCCGUCACACCAUGGGAGUAGGCAAUACCCGAAGCCUGUGAGCUAACCAUUUGGAGGCAGCAGUCGAAGGUAGGGUCAAUGACUGGGGUGAAGUCGUAACAAGGUAGCCGUAUCGGAAGGUGCGGCUG